rnacentral:rRNA from 1 species
GAUAGCUUGCUAUUUUUAUGAAGAGCGGCCCAACUUGGUGAGUAACGCGUGGGAAAUCUGCCGAGUAGCGGGGGACAACGUUUGGAAACGAACGCUAAUACCGCAUAACAAUGAGAAUCGCAUGAUUCUUAUUUGAAAGAAGCAAUUGCUUCACUACUUGAUGAUCCCGCGUUGUAUUAGCUAGUUGGUAGUGUAAAGGACUACCAAGGCGAUGAUACAUAGCCGACCUGAGAGGGUGAUCGGCCACACUGGGACUGAGACACGGCCCAGACUCCUACGGGAGGCAGCAGUAGGGAAUCUUCGGCAAUGGGGGCAACCCUGACCGAGCAACGCCGCGUGAGUGAAGAAGGUUUUCGGAUCGUAAAACUCUGUUGUUAGAGAAGAACGUUAAGUAGAGUGGAAAAUUACUUAAGUGACGGUAUCUAACCAGAAAGGGACGGCUAACUACGUGCCAGCAGCCGCGGUAAUACGUAGGUCCCAAGCGUUGUCCGGAUUUAUUGGGCGUAAAGCGAGCGCAGGUGGUUUCUUAAGUCUGAUGUAAAAGGCAGUGGCUCAACCAUUGUGUGCAUUGGAAACUGGGAGACUUGAGUGCAGGAGAGGAGAGUGGAAUUCCAUGUGUAGCGGUGAAAUGCGUAGAUAUAUGGAGGAACACCGGAGGCGAAAGCGGCUCUCUGGCCUGUAACUGACACUGAGGCUCGAAAGCGUGGGGAGCAAACAGGAUUAGAUACCCUGGUAGUCCACGCCGUAACGAUGAGUGCUAGCUGUAGGGAGCUAUAAGUUCUCUGUAGCGCAGCUACGCAUUAAGCACUCCGGCCUGGGGGAGUACGACCCGCAAGGUUGAAACUCAAGGGAGUGAACCGGGGCCG